rnacentral:lncRNA from 1 species
CCAGCUGCUGAAGCUAAUUUAUAGGUGAGAAGUUGCUUAAAGUAUGCAAUCAACUUGUCUUGUUGAGGCAAAGCUUCUUGGAUAAUGGGUACCUGUGUAAAAUUGUGCAUCCAUUCAUCAAGCAAAGGAAAAUUUUCAGGAUCAUGAAUUUUGACACUAAAAGCAGCCUCAAUAGCUCCUACCCAGUUAGGGAUCCAACCCAUGGCUACAUCAACAUAUCCAACUGUGUCACCCCCAAAAAACUUGUUGCCUUUUGCCUUGAGCUCUUUUUCAAUUACCUGCAGAGCUUCUUUUGCUUUCUCCACUUCCUUCUGCUUUGCCUCUUCUUCAGUAGUAUUAAUAACUCUCCUCACUGCUUCCAUUAGCUAUUUCACAACGACUUGAUUAAAAAUUUGUUAUAUAUCUAAACCACAUACAUAUAUUGCAUGUAUAUAAUUAUAAGCUACAAAAGAAGGAAAAGAAAGAUAAAUAUGUACCUUGUUAUCUACAAAGUAAGCCCAGAAGCGUGCCAUGGCCCUCUCAUAAGGAUCCUCAGGCAAAACAGGGUUGUGUUUCCAAACUUCAUCAAUGUAUUCAAUGAUGAUGAGUGAUUCAGUAAUGGGUUUUCCGUUGUGAACAAGAACAGGGAUUUUCUUGUAAAUAGGAUUAUAUUUGAGAAGCUCAGGGCUUUUGUUGGCCAAAUUUUCCGCUACAGCUUCAUAAGAAAUUCCCUUUAGCUUCAGUGCCACUUCUGCUCUGAAAGCAAAUGGACUGAACCAUCCUCCCAACACCUUCACUUCCUCUUGCCCUGCCAUUUCUUUUUAAGACGUUUUUCUUUUUUCUCCUUUUCUUUUCUAAAUUAAGGUUAUCCCUUAAUUGGCUUCUAAGUGGUGACAAUGAAGGGAAGUGGGAGCUAAAUUGUCUUAUUUAGGCCAAAGAAAGAAUUGAUGGUCCAAUGAAUUCAAGUUGCGUACUUAUUUAGCCCAGAUAAAGACUUUUUCUUUUUUAAUUUUGACGAAGUAAAUAGAAGAUUCCAGUGACUCUUUGUUUAUUCUAUUUUAUAUGUGGAUCAUUAAUCUAUUGUCGAUUAUUUUAGUUUAAAUUGUUAGCAAAGGAACAAUUUCUUUUCAGUUUAUUGUAUGUAAAAUCAAUUUUAUUGAAAUUUGUUGAAAGUUUUGAAUUGCAUGUGCGAUCAGAAUUUCUAAAAAUUGAAUUCAUUUAGCCAAAUAUCAUAUGUAUGGUUAAACUAAUUCUGCAAUAUAAAUUUAGUCACGCUAUUUGAUGUGGCGAAAUAAUUAUCAUAUACUAAAAUAUAUGAUUAAUUUGUGUUACUAAGAAAGGAUCUCAAUGCAAGUCAAAAGCAGAACUAUUUAUUUCAAUGCUGACACUUUAUUUAUGUUUAAUUUGAUUGAUAAUUAAUAGCUUGAUAAAAUUAAACUAUUUAAUAAAAUUUUAUUAAUAUUUAUUAUUAAUAUAUUAAAUAAUUAUUAUACUAUUUUUAAUAAUACAUGACUUAUAAUGAUUAAAAAUAUUAUAAUUAAUUUUUUAAUUUAAUUGUAUUAAUUAUUAUAAAUAUUUAUAAAAAUAAUUUUAAAAAUAGAAUCAAAAAUUAAAAUUUUACCAAUAUAAGAUUUCUAAUUUCAAAUAUUAUAAUUAUUUCAUUAUUAAAUAUAAUUUCAAAAUAAUAUUAUUUAUUAUAAAUAAUUAUUAAUAGAUAUUAAUAAAAAAUAAAUAAAUAAUAUUAAUUUGAAUUAAAUCUAUUCGCUACUAAUUUUAAGUUUUAGUAAAUGAUUUAACAUAACUAAAUAUUCUCUUUUACUUAGGUUGAAUGCUGUAUGUCACAAAAAUUUGGCUAAAAUACUCUCAUAGUAACUUCUGUUAUUUAAUUCUUAAGUUUUUAUUAUAUUUUUAAACGGUUUCUGCCCUUUAUUUUAUCAAUAUUAUUUUUGUUAAUAACAAAGACUCUUAUCCUUAAUAAUUAAGCAAAUAAUUAGUUUAGAGACUUUUAAAAUACAGAUAAAACUUUAAGGUCCCAAAAAUUAAACAGUUCUUAAUCAAUCAUUCUUUAGUAAUAUGUGAAUGUUUUAUACUAUAUAAAUAUUAAUGAAGACAUUUUAAUUCUAAUAUGAUGCAUGCAUAGCUUUAAAGUAGAAAUUAUAAAUUUAUAAUACUUUUAGAAAAAAAACUUUUGAAAUUUAUCUUUAUAUUAUAUUUGAUUGAAAUCUAUAAAAUUUAAAAAUUUAUUUAUAAAUCUGAGAUUUAUAUAUCUUAAAUAAAAUAAAAUUUAGUUUAGAAUUGUACAUAAUCAAAUUUUUGUGGAAUUAAUUGUAAAUAAAUUAAAUUCUAACAUAAUAGGUAAAAUUUUCAAAUAAAUUUCAUAUUAGUAAGUCAAUAUAUUUUAUAUUUGCUGCAUUUGUGUCUUGACUAUUCCUAGUAAGGACUAUUCCUAGUAAGGACCAAAAUAAACAUUUAAAGGUAAAGCUUAAGGAGUUUUCUUAUGUGAUUAUUAGAAAAAAAAUAUCGACACCCGGCACUAUAUAGUAUGCAUGUGUAUAACAUUAAAUUUUUAAAUCGUCUUAACCAUGAUUUUAUUAAUAUAUAAUUUAUCAUUAAAAAAACCUGCUUUUUAAAAAAUUAUUUAACUUUUGGGCAUUCCAUCUUUAAAUUUUUAUUUGUGUUUGAAAAAGCCCAUAACCGUUAAUUUUAAUAAAUAUCUAGUUCAAAAGUCCUUAAUGUUGACAAAAAAGAAGUCCAAGUCUUAAUGCUGACAAAAAUAAUAGUUUAGGGACUUCUUGAGACGCAAUAAAAAGCUUAAAAACCCAAUACGGAAAAGUAGGAAGUUGAGAUACUCCCUGUAAGUUUUACCAAAAGCAGUAUACUUCCACGAUUGAGAAAAAAGAAAAAAAAAAAAGAGACAAAGAAAAGCAAAAGCUAUAUCUAGUGAUGCUCGGAUGAUCAAGUAUUAUAAAAAAAUUUAAUACAAUUGUAUAUAUAAGGUUCGAAUUCAAUAUCUUAGUUAAAUUAAAAGAGAUUUUUAUUAUUUCAUCUACACGCUUUGCUUCUAUACAGUAAAAGCUAUUUAAAUCGAAAAAUGUUAACUUGGAUUAACUCGAAAGAAAUACAAUAAAUUUAAGAUAAGGCUAAAUCAAGUAGAUAUAAAACAUUCUCUAACAAAUUAAAAUAAAACAAAAAAGCAAAAGUACAAGAAUUUGCAUGCCGAAUGACAUGCAUUAUUUAUCUUGAAAGUAAUAGAACUCAACAAUACACAAAACAGUAGUGACUUUUAUUAUUUUCCGGCUGCUGAAGCUAAUAUGUCGCUGCGAAAUUGCUUAAAGAACUCCACCAACUUGUCAUGUUCAGGCAAAGCUUCUCUGAUGACAGGUACCUCUGUAAAAUUCUGUAUCCAUUUUUCAAGUAGAGGAAAUUCUUCAGGAUCAUAAAUUUCGACAUCAACACUUCCCUUAACAGCUGCUACCCAUCUGGGGAUAUACCCCAUGGCUACAUCAACGAACCCAACUGUGUCCCCCAUAAAAAAUUUAUUGCCCCUUGCCUUGAGCUCUCCUUCAAUCACUUGUAGAGCUUCUUUUGCCUUCUCAACUCCCCUCUGCUUUUCCUCUUCUUCAGUACUGCGGAGAACUCCCCUUAAUGCUUCCGUAAGCUAUUUCAUUAAUUGAUCAACAAAUUAGCACUUGAUUAAUUUAUGUUAUUAUCAUGUGCUUGACAAGUAGAAGUGAUUAUAUAAAUGUAUAUAAACUGAAAAGUUGAUAGAUAUAUGUACCUUGUUGUCUACAAAGUAAGCCCAGAAGCGUGCCAUGGCCCUCUCAUAAGGAUCCUCAGGUAAAAUAGGGUUGUGUUUCCAAGUUUCAUCAAUGUAUUCAACGAUGAUAAGAGAUUCAGAAAUGGGUUUUCCAUUAUGAACAAGAACAGGGAUUUUCUUAUAGACAGGAUUAUACUUGAGAAGCUCAGGGCUCUUGUUGGUUAAACUCUCUACUACAGCUUCAUAUGGAAUUCCCUUUAGCGUCAGUGCCACUUCUACCCUGAAAACAAAUGGACUGAACCAACCUCCCAAUACUUUCACUUCCUCUUGCCCUGCCAUUUCAUUUAAGACCCCUUUUCUUUUUCUCUCUUUCCUUCUUUCUUUAAUUUGCUUCUACAGUGGUGAUAACAAGGAGAAGUGUGGUUUGAGUUUCUUUUGUUAGUUUGAAGAAGGAAAAGGAUUGGUAUAUGUACACCUUAUCACAACAACAUAUUAUAAUUCCAAUUAAAAUAAUGAAGAGAUGGGCCCUAAAACAUGCGGUUCUAGUUCUAGAACUGACUUGUAUGGUAUUUACAAAAUUUCCAAUCUGAGAGGUAUAUAAACUCCAAAAAUCAGCUACAAGAGUGAAAAGCAAUCAAACGAAGUCUGAGAGAAAUGCAGACCAAUUGUGGUUGUGCAGCAAGUCUAGAGAGUUGCAUGCAUAUCCCCAUCAAAUUUAAUGUAUGCCAUUAAUUACUUAGAAAGCAGCCAUGCCCUAGUCGUAUACGACUAAGGGAGGCAAUGUUGACUUGGAACACUCCGCAGUUCUAGAAGUUGCUUAUCAUUUUCCUUUCACAAUCCAGAGGGGCAGAUAGAUUGUCCUCCUUCCAUCUUUAUCAUCAAUUUCUAUAUUUUUUUAAAAUUAAUAAUUAUAUUCAUAGUCAUUUAAUAUUUUUACUCAAUUUUAAUUUAGUCAUUAAAUUUUAUAUCUAUUUUAAUUCAAUAAUUUAAUUUAUUAAGUCAUUUUGUGAAUAAAAAAUUGAUAAUAUUGUAAUAUGGAACACUUUAGUAUUAAAAACUUGGUUAAUGUCUUCACUUUAUACACUAAAUCGAUAAAUAACUGAUAUAUAUUUAUUAGUUUUAAAUAAUGAAAUUUAUGUCAAUCAUUUAUAUCAAAUGUAAAAUACUCAUAAUGUAUGUCAAUUUUCUGCUAAUUAUAGUGCAUGUGGUGCAUAUGUCAAGCAUACCUGUAAAGAAUAAUCAGGCAUCAUAACGAUUUAUUUAACAUUAAAUUUGGCUUUCAUGCUACUACCAACCAUACAUAUAGAAGUUGCAUGUCAAUUAUAUAUCCAGAAAAUAACGAAACUCGAGAAUUAUUGUCAAUUUAUGAUGGAAAUAGCCCAUGUAUCCAAGUACAACACAAAAUUUCUUUUAAAAAAAUUACAUAAUUAUUCGACUAGAAAAAUAGACAAAUUUAACAGUUAUUAAUGAGCUCCCAAUAUUUUCUCAGAAAAAAAAAAAGAAAAAGAAGAACAGAAAUGUUUAUUUUCCAGCUGCUGAAGCUAAUUUAUAGCUGAGAAGUUGCUUAAAGUGUGCAAUCAAGUCGUCUUGUUGAGGCAAAGUUUCUUUGAUAACAGGCACCUGUGUAAAAUUGUGCAUCCAUUCGUCAAGUAUAGGAAAUUUCUCAGGAUCAUGGAUUUUGACAUCAACAGUUCCCUCGACAGCUCCUACCCAGUUAGGGAUCCAACCCAAGGCUACAUCAAUAAAUCCAAUUGUGUCACCCCCAAAGAAUUUCUUGCCUCUUGCCUUGAGCUCUCCUUCAAUCACCUGCAAAGCUUCUUUUGCCUUCUCCACUUCCUUCUGCUUUUGCUCUUCUUCAGUACUACCGAUAAUUCCCUUUAAUGCUUCCAUAAGCUAUUUCAUAAUCAUAUAUAUUUAUUAUCAUCAUGUGCUUGACAUAUGUACAAGUGAAUUACUUGGGUGCUAAAUAAAUGCUACCCUUUAAUCGAUGGGAAACAUUGCUGCACUAUGCCAUCUCUUCAUGAAUCUAUCAGUUAUUGUUUGAAAUUUGGAAUUGACAUUAUUCUAAAAUUUUUAUCUUAUUCCUUCAAGAUGUAAGAUCCAAAACUAAGAUCCAAACUCUUCUGGUCUUUGAGUUUGCUAAAAAAAGUAACUAAUACUAGAAAGAAGGAAAAGAAAUUGAAGACUUCAUUUACCUAUGUCAAAUUCUCCAAUAACUAUUUAAGAUGAGAUAUUAUAUAUCACAUCAAAAUCACAUAACCUCAUCUCUUUUUCUUCUUUCUUUUUCUAAUAAGCCAUAGAUUGAUUUAUAUUAACUAUAAGAAUAGGGAAACAGAUUGCGGUGAGAGCGAACUAAACCAGGCCAAAAGACCUUUCUCAGACACCCCAAAUAACUCCCAUCAUCACAGGAAUGAUAUAUAUGCAAAUAAAGAAGGAAUAUAUCUGUAUAACUAAAAGAAAAGGGAGAUAGAUAUAUGUACCUUG